rnacentral:rRNA from 1 species
GACGAACGCUGGCGGCGUGCUUAACACAUGCAAGUCGAACGGAGAUAUCCUAAUAGUAAUAUGAAGAUAUCUUAGUGGCGGACGGGUGAGUAACACGUGGGUAACCUGCCCUAUGGAGGGGGAUAACACAAAGAAAUUUGUGCUAAUACCGCAUAACAUAACGAUAUCGCAUGGUAUUGUUAUCAAAGAUUUAUUGCCAUAGGAUGGACCCG